AACGCACCUUGCGCUCCUUGGUAUUCCGAGGAGCAUGCCUGUUUGAGUGUCAUCGAAACAUCAGAUCGAAGCUUUCGACCUCGUCGGAGCUCGGUUUGGACUUAUGGGAGUCUGCGGGCGAACCUCCCGUCGGGGGGACGUCGGCUCUCCUCAAAAGCAUUAGCGUUGGGUGCGAGCCUCGCGUGGCACGGCCUCUUCGACGUCAUAAUGACCGUCGUGGGCUGGAAGUGCGUGGAUCGUAGAUGCCCGUCGCUCUCCAACUCUGCGAGCCCGGUCCGUCCGGCCGCGUGUUAUCGAAGCUUGACCUCAAAUCAGGUAGGACUACCCGCUGAACUUAA
rnacentral:misc_RNA from 1 species